ACGCUGGCGGCGUGCCUAAUACAUGCAAGUCGAACGCCUUGUGGUUUUAAUGAAUAGCGUGCUUGCACAAUAUGAUUUAAAACAAUGCAAGGAGUGGCGAACGGGUGAGUAACACGUGGGAAACCUACCUCUUAGCAGGGGAUAACAUUUGGAAACAGAUGCUAAUACCGUAUAACACUAAAAACCGCAUGGUUUUUAUUUGAAAGAUGGUUCUGCUAUCACUAAGAGAUGGUCCCGCGGUGCAUUAGUUAGAUGGUGAGGUAAUGGCUCACCAUGACGAUGAUGCAUAGCCGAGUUGAGAGACUGAUCGGCCACAAUGGGACUGAGACACGGCCCAUACUCCUACGGGAGGCAGCAGUAGGGAAUCUUUCACAAUGGGCGCAAGCCUGAUGGAGCAACGCCGCGUGUGUGAUGAAGGGUUUCGGCUCGUAAAGCACUGUUGUAAGAGAAGAAUGUACUUGAGAGUAACUGUUCAAGUAGUGACGGUAUCUUACCAGAAAGGGGCGGCUAAAUACGUGCCAGCAGCCGCGGUAAUACGUAUGUCCCAAGCGUUAUCCGGAUUUAUUGGGCGUAAAGCGAGCGCAGACGGUUAUUUAAGUCUGAAGUGAAAGCCCUCAGCUCAACUGAGGAAUUGCUUUGGAAACUGGAUGACUUGAGUGCAGUAGAGGAAAGUGGAACUCCAUGUGUAGCGGUGAAAUGCGUAGAUAUAUGGAAGAACACCAGUGGCGAAGGCGGCUUUCUGGACUGUAACUGACGUUGAGGCUCGAAAGUGUGGGUAGCAAAC
rnacentral:rRNA from 1 species